AUAACACUCGAUAAUUGGUUCAUUUCGAAAAUAUUGCAAAAAUUAUGAAAUAAAUUGUUCUGGAAAUUGAAAAAAUUCAGACGAUUUAGUUGUGUUGUCAUUUUUUUGUGCAAAAUGUAUCGUUUUCUGUGAACAUAUAAAGGGCAUGUACAAACACACACACAAUCUCUCUUUUAUAUAUAUGUUACCGGCAAUAUGUAUACGUAGGCUGCUAUUUAUAUAUUUCUGACCUAGGCUACACUAAGUGUUGCCAGGUGCAAUUUGACAUUUCCUUUGGUAGGUUUGAUAUUUUUGUAGCAUAAUAGUACUCAGAAUGUUUUGACGUACGACCAUCAUUUGUGGUGUUUACAGUAACUUGAAAAAAUUAAUUUGGCAAAAAAAUUGAAUUAAGUCGUGAACAUAUUCGUGCGAUCAUUUUUCACAACAUUCGAUGUGGAUUAUCACGACAAGAGUACAUUGAUGAACUUAAAUCUUUGUAUGGUGAUGAAGCACCAUCCUAUAGCAUUGUGAACACUGGUUUAAUUAAUUCAAUCGUGGUCGACGCUCGCUCAAAGACGAAUUCCGUGAAGGUCGUCCAAAAACGGCUGUUGUGCCAGAGAACAUUGAUGCCGUGCUUUGUCUCUCUCCCUCGUCAAGACGCAACAGUGAGGUGAUAAUGCAAGAUCGUCAUGCCACAUACCGUGAGAUAGAGGCAUCCCUAGGCAUUUCUUCCACAAGGAUACAUUCGAUAUUGCAUGUACACCUGGCAGUAAAAAAAAGUUUGUUCUCGUUGGAUCCCGCACUAUUCGACAAUAGCUCAAAAGAAGGCUCGUCGUGUCGAUUGGUGCAAAGAAACGUUGAAAAAAUAUGCUCGGGGUGCUUCAAAAGACGUUUACAAGAUCGUCACAAGUGACGAAUCAAGGAUUUAUGCGUAGGAGCCCGAAACAAAACAAAAAUCAACCGUGUGGGUUUUCGAAGACGAGCCACAUCCAAUGAAAGUUGAUCGUGGAAGAAGCACUUCGAAACAGAUGGUUGCCUGUUUCUUCAACAAAACUGGUCAUGUGGCGACUGUUCCACUUGAGCAACGUAAGACGGUCAAUUCUGAGUGGUACAACACAAUUUGUUUGCCUGAAGUCUUCAAAGAAAUUCGAAAAACGAACAAGAGAAGACGAAUCAUUCUUCACCAUGACAAUGCGAGCUCUCACACACAGGUUCAAACCAGUGCCUUUUUGAAUGGACAAAACAUCAAAUUGAUGGGUCAUCCACCUAUUAGCCCUGACUUGGCACCCAAUUACUUCAUUUUAUUCCCGCACAUCAAGAAAAAAAUGUGUGGUCAACGAUUUUCGUCGCCAGAAAUUGCCGUUGAAACGUUAAAAAAACCAUGUUUUGGAGGUGUCUCAAUCGGAGUAGAAAAAGAGCAUGGACAAUUGGUUAGAGCCUAUGCAAAAAUGUAUAAAUCGUGCUGGAGAAUAAUUUGAAAGACAAUAAAACCCUUUUUGAUGAUAAA
rnacentral:lncRNA from 1 species